rnacentral:lncRNA from 1 species
GUCCCGCUUGGGGUGCCUUGCGACGGACUGGCGUCCUGUCCUGGGUGUGUCCCCUCUGGCCUUACGCCCUGUGUUGCUGGGCUAGGCUCUGGUUCCCUGCGACCCCGUAUGGGACAAGCGGUUCUGAAAAUGUGUGUGUGAUUGUAGGAAAUUUUGUUCAAGUGAUGCUCUCUAAGGUACUGACAACAAAAAGAAGACAGCUGUUGCAAUAAUGCGGCAGUAUGCCUUGUAGUAGUUAGGACCGUUACCUUGUAACGUGAAAGGCCGGGGCUCAGAGCGCACUCCUACUGCGCUGACCUCGAGCACAGUUAUUCACGCUCGCUGCAGCUUGUUGCCAUACACGCUUAAGGUUGUAAGUCACCUUGGACGAAGGUACCAGCUAAGUAAAGGUUAACAAUACAAAGACGGUCAUCGCGUCAGUAAUACGAAGGUUGCCAGUCCGACCGGGCGAUGAUGUUAAAGCAAAUGGGCUGUUGUGGUGCCGAGUACUGACUGCAUGUUUCAGGAGUCGGCGGGAGUGUGAAGUUUUGAUCCUUUUGCUUUACGUAGGGGGCACAAAAGUGACACGUGGAAGGGAUGAUUAACUUAAGCGCAGGUUAGUUCUUGACUUCUCAGACUCAAGGUAUGUGGGCUCUUCUGCAGGUCGGGAGGGGGGGAUCAGGUGGGACAGGUGGUGCGGAGCUCUCACGGUGUGUUACUAAAAGCGGCUGAGACGUGGACUAGGCUGGAUUGCCAGCGCCUUGACGUCAGGGCCCUGGAGAGAAAACAAAACAAGGGCCAUAUAAACGGGCUGCGGCUGCGUCGCGAUGAAGGCUGGAAACGGCGCGAUCGGAGGCGGUGAGAGAUGCGGGACCCGCGGCGCUCCGCGACGCCCCCUGGCGGCCAGCUCGGCCAGCUCACCCUGCUCAGCCUGCUCACCGCCGCACUGUGCCACGGUAAGAGGAAGGGCCGGCACUCGUGUCCCUGCGUGGACGUGACGGUUGAUCCUUCCCGAGUUUUAUCCUCUUCAGAAAAACCGAACAGGUGCUCAGU